rnacentral:rRNA from 1 species
UACGGGGGGGGCAAGCGUUGUUCGGAAUUACUGGGCGUAAAGGGCUCGUAGGCGGCCAACUAAGUCAGACGUGAAAUCCCUCGGCUUAACCGGGGAACUGCAUCUGAUACUGGAUGGCUUGAGUUCGGGAGAGGGAUGCGGAAUUCCAGGUGUAGCGGUGAAAUGCGUAGAUAUUAGGAAGAACACCAGUGGCGAAGGCGGCUCACUGGUCCGGUACUGACGCUGAGGUGCGAAAGCGUGGGGAGCAAACAGG